AUUGAACGCUGGCGGCAUGCUUUACACAUGCAAGUCGAACGGUAACAGGCCGCAAGGUGCUGACGAGUGGCGAACGGGUGAGUAAUGCAUCGGAACGUGCCCAGUCGUGGGGGAUAACGCAGCGAAAGCUGCGCUAAUACCGCAUACGAGCUAUGGAUGAAAGCGGGGGACCGUAAGGCCUCGCGCGAUUGGAGCGGCCGAUGUCAGAUUAGGUAGUUGGUGGGGUAAAGGCUCACCAAGCCAACGAUCUGUAGCUGGUCUGAGAGGACGACCAGCCACACUGGAACUGGGACACGGCCCAGACUCCUACGGAAGGCAGCAGUGGGGAAUUUUGGACAAUGGGCGCAAGCCUGAUCCAGCAAUGCCGCGUGCAGGAAGAAGGCCUUCGGGUUGUAAACUGCUUUUGUACGGAACGAAACGGUCCUGGUUAAUACCCGGGGCUAAUGACGGUACCGUAAGAAUAAGCACCGGCUAACUACGUGCCAGCCGCCGCAGUAAAAC
rnacentral:rRNA from 1 species